UACGGGGGGGGCAAGCGUUGUUCGGAAUUACUGGGCGUAAAGGGCGCGUAGGCGGUCUGCUAAGUUGGAUGUGAAAACUCUGGGCUUAACCCAGAGCCUGCAUUCAAAACUGACAGGCUAGAGUUCUGGAGGGGAAGCGGAAUUCCUGGUGUAGCGGUGAAAUGCGUAGAUAUCAGGAGGAACACCAACAGCGAAGGCAGAUCUCUGGGACGUAACUGACGCUGAGACGCGAAAGCGUGGGGAGCAAACAGG
rnacentral:rRNA from 1 species